GACGAACGCUGGCGGCGUGCCUAAUACAUGCAAGUCGAACGAGAUCUUCGGGUCUAGUGGCGCACGGGUGCGUAACGCGUGGGAAUCUGCCCUUUGGUUCGGAAUAACAGUUGGAAACGACUGCUAAUACCGGAUGAUGACGAAAGUCCAAAGAUUUAUCGCCAGAGGAUGAGCCCGCGUAGGAUUAGCUAGUUGGUGUGGUAAAGGCGCACCAAGGCGACGAUCCUUAGCUGGUCUGAGAGGAUGAUCAGCCACACUGGGACUGAGACACGGCCCAGACUCCUACGGGAGGCAGCAGUGGGGAAUAUUGGACAAUGGGCGAAAGCCUGAUCCAGCAAUGCCGCGUGAGUGAUGAAGGCCUUAGGGUUGUAAAGCUCUUUUACCCGGGAUGAUAAUGACAGUACCGGGAGAAUAAGCUCCGGCUAACUCCGUGCCAGCCGCCGCCGUAA
rnacentral:rRNA from 1 species